rnacentral:hammerhead_ribozyme from 1 species
AUCCUGCUGACGAGUCCCAAAUAGGACGAAACGCGCGUCAAACUAGAU